GGUGUAGCCACUGCACCCCGUCGGUCAUGGGAGCUUCCACUUCAGGGAGAAGUUUGUGGAAUGCACGGGUUGGACAGAGGUCGCAAUCUGGAAGGAUCACCUGCACAUUUGCGGUAAGAGCUUCGCAGCUAAAUGGAACCUGGCUGGCUUCAGGGCACUUCACGUUUUUCUGAUUGUUAAAAUCCAAGGUUACCCGCCGUAAAGAAAGAACCGCUGUUGCCCCACACCGACUCCACACCCGGAGUCAGCUGGAGUCCUUCUAGUUUGCGAUUUUUAAAAGGAAAUCCGUAGAAGUGGGCAUCGCCUUCGAGAAGAGAGGAAACCCUGCCCGGACCUGGAACGAUUCUGGUUUGAAAAUGUAAGCCUCUGGCGCGGAGCCUCCUUUCGCCCCUAGCUAAAAUGGGUCACGUGGUCCAGAGGCAGCGUUGGCGAGAAUGCAGCCAGAUACUGGCUGCAGAGGUGGCCUCUCCAUAUGGAGAGGCAUGACAUGCCUGUCACAUUACAUCACAGAAGUUUGGUUUGCAUUCUCAAAAGAAUGCACCAGAUGGUGCUCAAAGUGCCUUUGCAGAGGUCACUGUCUGACUCCAACUCCAAGACCAGCGUCUUGUGGAAUAUGACAAACACCUCGCUCUCGUUUGUGGAAACCUGUCUGAGACUGAAGCAAACCCCGGUGGAGUAACACUCCUGAGAGAACUCGACUCUGCGGGGGUCGGGGUGGGGGACCAAUCAAACCAAAGCAGACUCUCCUAACUGGAAGGGAGGAGGGAAGAAAAGAGUUGUGGGCUGGGAUGAUUGGUCAGAUUCCUGGCUGGACAGCAGUGAGUCUCAGGAGUGUGACUUUGGAGGGGUUACAGCACAGCUACUGCACCCCCAUCCUCUGGGACAAGGCCUUGUCAUUUGGGUUUCUAACAAGCUUCAGGAAUAAGGUGUUUCAAGUUCCCAGGCCACAUUCUGAAAAUCGCUGCCCUGCUGAAAGUCAUAGCACAAAGUCAUAUUGCCAACCCGGGAAGAGAAUAUGCUAUACAAACAUGGAAGGUAGUCCUUCUUGCAAAGUAAUGACUGGAGGUGCUGGGAACCUGCCUCAGCCAGAAAGUUCUUGCUGGGCAAGUAUGAAGACCUGAGUUCAGACUCCCAGCACCUACAUUUUCAAGGGAGGGGUUACAGGAGAGGGGGGGCAUGAUAGUGCAGGUCUGCAAUCCUAAAGAUAGACUGAGAGAAGGGAGACAAGAGGAUCCUUCAUCUACCAGUCUAGCUGAAUUAAGGAGCUUGUCUCAAACAAUAGGCUGUAAGACUGGUAGUGUUGGCCCCAGCAUUCAGGAGGCAGAGACAAGUAGAUCCCUGAGUUCAAGGCCAGCCUAGUCUACAAAUCGAGUUCCAGGACAGCCAGAACUACACAGAAACCCUGUCUCAAAAAUAAGUAAGUAAAUAAAUAAAUAAAUAACGUUAUUAAGGAGACAGGCACCCAUGGGGAAGCUGUCGGAAGGGCUGUUUCCAUUCGUAUCCUGCACACUGUUUGUAUUUUCUAUAAGAUGAUGGUGUUGACAUGUGAAGUUUAUUUUCACGGAAUCAUACCCACAAAAGGAAGAAGCAGGGUGAGAGAGGAAAGAGAGAAAGGCUGCAAAGAUGGCUUCUUAGAACACAGGCAGAUGACAGCAGCAGGGUGUAGAUUGUCUGAGCAUGGAGUUCUCCAGCAGUGUGUGCACUCCUUUUGUUGUAUUUGAUGCUGUUCUGCUAUUCAUUUCUUUCUGAAGAGCUACAAAAGAGCAAGUCUCCCAUCU
rnacentral:lncRNA from 1 species